GACAGAGGGUGCGAACGUUGUUCGGAAUUACUGGGCGUAAAGCGCAUGUAGGCGGCAGCGCAAGUCGGGCGUGAAAUCCCACGGCUCAACCGUGGAAGUGCACUCGAAACUGCGCAGCUAGAGUCCUGGAGAGGAAGGUGGAAUGCUUGGUGUAGAGGUGAAAUUCGUAGAUAUCAAGCGGAACACCGGUGGCGAAGGCGGCCUUCUGGACAGUGACGUGACGCUGAGAUGCGAAAGCGUGGGGAGCAAACAGGG
rnacentral:rRNA from 1 species